rnacentral:rRNA from 1 species
UACGUAGGGUGCAAGCGUUGUCCGGAAUUAUUGGGCGUAAAGAGCUCGUAGGCGGUUUGUCGCGUCUGCUGUGAAAACGCGAGGCUCAACCUCGCGCCUGCAGUGGGUACGGGCAGACUAGAGUGCGGUAGGGGAGAUUGGAGUUCCUGGUGUAGCGGUGGAAUGCGCAGAUAUCAGGAGGAACACCGAUGGCGAAGGCAGAUCUCUGGGCCGUAACUGACGCUGAGGAGCGAAAGCGUGGGGAGCGAACAGG